rfam:Sphingomonas sp. Ag1 JX01_contig_116, whole genome shotgun sequence.
GUUCGCUGCCGUGCAGGCAGCUUAGAAA